ACAAUUUAUAUAUUGAUAGAUAUAUAAUCAUACACUAAAAAUCUAUCCUUGAUAAAGAAAUAAGUGACUAAUGGACGUAGUUAUUAUUACUACAUUGGAAAGUAUUUGGUGAAUUAUGGAACUUGUAAGACCAAUGUGUGAUGUGCUAAAGUGCUUAGGAGAUCCAACAUGUACAUACAUACAGCAUCACAAAAAAUUGAAGAAAUGAAGAAUGAGCUUCUUGCAAAACAACGCGAACUAAAUGCUAUCAAGAGAGAUGUGGAGCUGGGGAUAAAAGUAAAGCUUCGAUGGGGAAAACGUGUAAGGCAAGAAGUAGAGAACUGGCUUCCAGAUGUGCAAGCCAUCAAUGACAAAAUAUAGAACAUUGAUGAAAGAAUGCAAAAUGUAUCUUGUUUUUCUCGUGGACGCCUUGGGAAACAAGUUUCGCAAACAAUUGAAGAAGUGAAGGAAAUUAUUGGACGAGGCAGAUUCGGUGAAGCUCUAGUAAUUGAUGAUCCAUCUACUGCUGAAGUGCGUUUGCAAUUGGAACAUUUGGAAGGUCAAACCCUGGUGAAAGCAGACAUUUGGAAGCAUUUGAUGAGUAAUGAAAUUGGAAUGAUUGGAGUAUGUGGGAGGGGCGGGAUCGGGAAAACCACAAUCAUGAAGCACAUCCACACUCAACUAUUGGAGGAGAUUAAAUCUGAACCCUUGUUUGAGAAAAUCAUUUGGGUCACUGUUUCGAAGGAUUUUAGCAUCACCAAAAUACAGCAACAAAUUGCAGAUCGUAUGUACAUAUCUCUUCCAGAUCCUGAAGUAGAGUGUGCAACUGUUUUAGCGAAUGAAUUGGGACGAAACAGGCAUGUGUUGAUCUUAGAUGAUGUUUGGGAAGGGUUCGCUCUCAAGAAGGUAGGGAUCCCUAAACCAACAUCCAGCAAUGGGAGUAAGUUGGUAUUAACUAGUAGAUCGAAAGUGGUUUGUAGAUCUAUAGGCUGUGAGAUAGUCGAAGUGCCUCUUCUUCCCUACAAGGAGUCCAUGAAUUUAUUCUUGGCGCUUACCGAACGUGGGAUUCUAAAGGUUCCAUCUUUGGAAGAAAUUUUGGGCAAUAUUGUUGGAAAGUGCGAUGGGUUACCCCUUGCCAUACAAGUAAUAGCAGGGAGCAUGAAGGGAAUAUCUGAUAUUGUUGAAUGGAGGAACGCAUUAAGAGAGUUACGUGAACAUGUAAUAAGUGUGAAGGGUACAGAUGUUGAAAUAUAUGAGCUAUUAAAGUUUAGUUUCGAUCGUUUGGUAGACUUGAAAAUCCAAAAUUGUUUCCUUUAUUGCUCACUAUAUCCAGAAGACUAUAUAAUUCCAAAGAAGGAAUUAAUAGAAUACUGGAUAGAUGAAGAAUUUCUUGGAACUGGGAGUCGACAAGAGUUAUAUUAUAGGGGUCAUACUAUAUUAAAUAGGCUGGAAAAUAAAUGUUUGUUGGAAAAGCAUGAUAGAGAUACUGUGAAGAUGCAUGAUGUAAUGAGAGAUACAGCAUUAUAUAUCAAAAGUUCUGGCCCCCGUUUUAUGGUAAAAUCUGGCAUCGGACUAAAAGAACUACCAAGCAAGCAAGAAUGGGAAGAAGAUCUUGAAAAAGUUUCCUUCAUGAUGAAUAACGUAUCUGAGAUUCCUCUGCACUUAUCACCC
rnacentral:lncRNA from 1 species